AGUGAACGCUGGCGGUAGGCCUAACACAUGCAAGUCGAACGGCAGCACAGUAAGAGCUUGCUCUUACGGGUGGCGAGUGGCGGACGGGUGAGGAAUACAUCGGAAUCUACUUUUUCGUGGGGGAUAACGUAGGGAAACUUACGCUAAUACCGCAUACGACCUACGGGUGAAAGCAGGGGAUCUUCGGACCUUGCGCGAUUGAAUGAGCCGAUGUCGGAUUAGCUAGUUGGCGGGGUAAAGGCCCACCAAGGCGACGAUCCGUAGCUGGUCUGAGAGGAUGAUAAGGCACACUGGAACUGAGACACGGUCCAGACUCCUACGGGAGGCAGCAGUGGGGAAUAUUGGACAAUGGGCGCAAGCCUGAUCCAGCCCUACCGCGUGGGUGAAGAAGGCCUUCGGGUUGUAAAGCCCUUUUGUUGGGAAAGAAAAGCAGCAGGUUAAUACCCCGCUGUUCUGACGGUACCCAAAGAAUAAGCACCGGCUAACUUCGUG
rnacentral:rRNA from 1 species